GCUUUUUUUUUUCAUUUUCACUAUUUUAUAAUGUGUUCUUUUUGAACAGUUUACUAUUUCUUUUGAUUUACAAAUUGGUAAAUAUUUUUAUAGUUCUGUUUAAAUACAUUUGUUAAACAUUGUUUCGGUUGGUUGUGUAGUAAAUGAUUAGAUGAAGACACACAAAACACACUUAGCUUGAUGCCAGGCACAUAGAGCACUGUAAAAUAAAAUGGUAGAUUAAUAAUAGGUUAAAAGAAGUUACUUAAUAAAUUUACCUAGUAAAUCAUCUGGUGACACCUAGAAUAUAUGAGGUAAUGAUUAUGCAAUUUAAAGAGUUUGGGUUUUUAAGGAUUAAAAUCUAAUUUAGGAAUAUGUUUUAGUACAUAGUCCAUUUCUUACUAUUAUUUUUCCUUUCUGUCAGUUAUUUAAUUAUGGAUCUUGGAGUAUCUGCUACAGUGAUGAUGGUAAUCCCAGUUGAAGAGGAAAGUGUUUAAAUGAUUAGCACUAAAGUAGUGUGCUUACUAACUGGAAUAUCAGUUUUAACUAUGUUAGUCUAAUAGGGCCACAGGUUUUAACUUAGAGGACAACUCUCAUUUUUAUUUUUAAGUGAUUUUGCAUUAAAAAAUUUGAGUUUUAGGUUUUAAAAUUUAUUGUAAUACAUGCUUGGGAAAAAAACAAUUCAAACCUUACUUAGUGCAUGGGAAAUAAGCACAAACUUUUGCAAGUGUGCACUUGAAAUUGAAUACCUGUUUUUGAAACAGUCCCUACUAUAAUGCUUGAGUUACCAUAGUGUCUUGUCCCUCCCUUGUCAUGAUGCUAAUGGACAUUUUCUUCUGUAGGUCUUGAUACUGUGAUAUUUGCUUUCUUGGUGUUUUGAUUUGGCAGUUCUUCCUUUCUUCUCUGCUGCCUUGUUUUACCUUUUUGCCCGUUCUCCUACUGUCCUGCUGAAUAGCCAAACAAACCUGAGGUACUGUUUUUUGUAAAGGAAGAAAAAUCGCUCUAAACCUGCCUUCCUAGCAAGCACAGUCUGUCAGUUCUUUUGAAAAACAGCUGCUGCAAGAAAUUUGACAAAAAUACAGACUGGGGGGCGGAGGGGGUAUUACUUGUUUUUCAUUUUUAAAGUUAACAUAUCAUUUCACUACCUAACUGUACAAAGGCUGUGAUGUAACUUUUAUUUGUUUUUAAAUCUGGAGCUAGUCUAGCAAAAUGAAAAUAAAAAUUUAUAGAGAAUUGCAUUGGACAGGGUAAGCAAACUUUGUGUAACAGGCCAAAUAAUUUUUUUAAAUUUUCAGUCUCUGUCACAACUACUCAACUCUGCCUUUGCAGUGUGUAGCAGCCACAGACAGUAUAUAAACAGAUGGGCUUGGCUCUGUUCCAGUAAAACUUUACUGGCAAGAAUAGUUGGUGUGGCUGUCAGGGCCAGUAGUUUUGCUGACUGCUGGUCUGUGUAGGACAUUAUUGGAAGAACUGUUUACAUCUUUUAGCUACAAAUCUUAAUUUAUCUUCCACUGUAAUGAGGUACAUCUUAAUAUCAAGUCAAUACUAUUUGUAGCAUUGGAUUUUCACUAGAUUAUUUGACUUUACUGAAUUGUGUUAAUGGCAUAGGGGAGGGGAGGGAAGGUUCCUGGCUAAGGAAGGAGUUGUGUUAAACAUUGUUAAGAGCUUCUGUGUAGUUUUACUUUCUAGCUUCAAAAAUAGUCAUCCUAUAAAUAUUACUAAUCUUACAAGCAUUAUUUUGCCCUCUCUUAAAUAUUGCACUGGCUUUCGUUUUAAGCUGUGUUAAAACUGUUGUUUUGUUCUUUAAGAUUGAUUAAGCACAAAUUAAUUGAGCACCUACUAAGAACCAGCUACUGUAGAUAGAAGUAGGAAACUUGGUUCCUAUUAUCAAGGUCCUCUCAGCUUCUUAGAAUUCAGAUUUCUCAGAUAUGUUACUAUAUAAGCCAGUUUUUGGCAACAUAUUUCCAUUGCUGCUUAUUUAUUAUAUAUUGUUUUAUCUAAUCCUGGAAACAUUUAAUAUCAUUUAACAUGCUUUGAAUCAUUUACUGAUUAUAAACAUCUGACUUUAUAUUCAAAAUUUAUCUUUCACUUCAGAUUAGACUAUUAAUGGUUCUUUGAAGGUGUUAAUAAAGAUUACUUUCAGAAGCAGGGUUAAAUAUUCAAAUAUGCAUUUCUCAAUUUUGCCAAACCAACAAUUACAUUGUUCUCUGAACACAUUAUUCAUUUGAUUCUCCCUGCUUUCUGUUAGGGAAACCCUGCUGUUCCAUUUAUACCUCAUUUAACAAAGUCACUGUCAGUGUGUUUGCUGUCUCUAAACUCACUACCUCCAAGAAUCUUUCCCUGUGUUUCUUAGGGAAAGAUUACAUCUUGGCUGUCAGGAGGACUAGAAUGAGAACACUAAUUUUUAAUCAUAUCUUUUCAGUUGUGUGUUUGUGUAUAUCUACAGCAGACUACACGUCCAUGCAGUGUAGUAAACUAGUGUUUUAUCUUUGUGUACCCUACCACCUUCACUGGGCCUGGCACAUGGUUGGCAUUAUAUAAAUCUUGAAUGAAUUAUUAUAAGGAAAUAUGUUUAAUUUCAAAAGCCUUGAAUUACUGAGCCACUUAUACUAGUUUUUGUUCAUUUAGCUUAAUACCAACUAUGUGAAAGUAAAAUUGUUACUGGUACAAAUUCAGAAGUAUUUCACUGAUGUUAAAACUUUCUUUAGUUAAUUCACAGUACUUGAAAGAUGUAUCUUGGAUAGUAUUCAUUGCAUUUAUUCUCAGGGUACAGUGCUUCUGUAAGCAGCUAUUCUAUAGGUCAUUUUCUUCUUGAAAUACAUAUACAAGUAGUUAUUUUUUGGCUCACUGUCUCUAGUCAGGAACUCUAAAGAUUAAUUAUAAACUAAAAGAAACUUAAGGUUCUUUUGAGAGAAAUCUCCAGCUUAUCCUCUGGUGCUCUUGUUCCCUAUGAUAUCUUACAAGAUAAUUCUCACUAUGCAGAUCAUGUCACCUGAAUUUUCAAAACAAUUUUUGUGUAAUGAUAUUUGGAAGUCUGACAAUUAAGAAUAUCAGAAUUUUUUCAUUUAGCAGUC